UACGUAGGUGGCAAGCGUUGUCCGGAUUUAUUGGGUUUAAAGGGUGCGUAGGCGGCUUUGUAAGUCAGUGGUGAAAUAUGGCAGCUCAACUGUCAGGGUGCCAUUGAUACUGCAGAGCUUGAGUACAGAUGAGGUAGGCGGAAUUGACGGUGUAGCGGUGAAAUGCUUAGAUAUCGUCAAGAACACCGAUAGCGAAGGCAGCUUACUGGGCUGUAACUGACGCUCAUGCACGAAAGCGUGGGGAGCAAACAGG
rnacentral:rRNA from 1 species